AGGACCAUCAAGCUCUUGAAGCGUCGGAGAUAUGCCAGACAACGAGUGAUCAGAUUGAAUGUCGGGAAGGCAUAUGCCCUGCCUCUGGUCCAAUCUUGGAGGAAUGCGUCGGUCGUCACGGCUUCCGGGUCCGGUCGCCAACUGAAGAACUGUGGCAGUUGCAUGUUUAGUCUGGACACAAACAGGUCCACACUCAAAGGUCCCCAUAAGUGUGUGAUCUUGUGGAACACACUAGGUUGAAGUCUCCAAUCUCCCGAGUCCUUCAGGUAGCAUGAGUUCCAAUCCGCGGUGUAAUUGUCCAGGCCUGGAAUGUGUUCCGCGGUAACUGACACAUUGUUCUGUAAACAGUAAUGCCAGAAGUCUCGAGCCAAAACUGCUAAGAUGCGAGACUUGGUG